rnacentral:rRNA from 1 species
AUUGAACGCUGGCGGCAUGCUUUACACAUGCAAGUCGAACGGCAGCGCGGGCUUCGGCCUGGCGGCGAGUGGCGAACGGGUGAGUAAUGCAUCGGAACGUGCCCAGUAGUGGGGGAUAGCCCGGCGAAAGCCGGAUUAAUACCGCAUACGACCUGAGGGUGAAAGCGGGGGACCGAAAGGCCUCGCGCUAUUGGCGCGGCCGAUGUCGGAUUAGCUAGUUGGUGGGGUAAAGGCUUACCAAGGCGACGAUCCGUAGCUGGUCUGAAAGGACGACCAGCCACACUGGGACUGAGACACGGCCCAGACUCCUACGGGAGGCAGCAGUGGGGAAUUUUGGACAAUGGGGGCAACCCUGAUCCAGCCAUGCCGCGUGCGGGAAGAAGGCCUUCGGGUUGUAAACCGCUUUUGUUCGGGAAGAAAUCCUCUGGGCUAAUACCCCGGGGGGAUGACGGUACCGGAAGAAUAAGCACCGGCUAACUACGUG